rnacentral:rRNA from 1 species
AUUGAACGCUGGCGGCAGGCCUAACACAUGCAAGUCGAGCGGAUGAAGGGGGCUUGCUCCUGGAUUCAGCGGCGGACGGGUGAGUAAUGCCUAGGAAUCUGCCUGGUAGUGGGGGAUAACGUCCAGAAACGGGCGCUAAUACCGCAUACGUCCUGAGGGAGAAAGUGGGGGAUCUUCGGACCUCACGCUAUCAGAUGAGCCUAGGUCGGAUUAGCUAGUUGGUGGGGUAAAGGCCUACCAAGGCGACGAUCCGUAACUGGUCUGAGAGGAUGAUCAGUCACACUGGAACUGAGACACGGUCCAGACUCCUACGGGAGGCAGCAGUGGGGAAUAUUGGACAAUGGGCGAAAGCCUGAUCCAGCCAUGCCGCGUGUGUGAAGAAGGUCUUCGGAUUGUAAAGCACUUUAAGUUGGGAGGAAGGGCAGUAAGUUAAUACCUUGCUGUUUUGACGUUACCAACAGAAUAAGCACCGGCUAACUUCGU